rnacentral:rRNA from 1 species
AUUGAACGCUGGCGGCAUGCCUUACACAUGCAAGUCGAACGGUAACAGGUCUUCGGAUGCUGACGAGUGGCGAACGGGUGAGUAAUGCAUCGGAACGUGCCCAGUAGUGGGGGAUAGCCCGGCGAAAGCCGGAUUAAUACCGCAUACGACCUGAGGGUGAAAGGGGGGGAUCGCAAGACCUCUCGCUAUUGGAGCGGCCGAUGUCAGAUUGGCUAGUUGGUGGGGUAAAGGCCUACCAAGGCAACGAUCUGUAGUUGGUCUGAGAGGACGACCAGCCACACUGGGACUGAGACACGGCCCAGACUCCUACGGGAGGCAGCAGUGGGGAAUUUUGGACAAUGGGCGCAAGCCUGAUCCAGCAAUGCCGCGUGCAGGAAGAAGGCCUUCGGGUUGUAAACCGCUUUUGUCAGGGAAGAAAUCUUCUGGGUUAAUACCUCGGGAGGAUGACGGUACCUGAAGAAUAAGCACCGGCUAACUACGUGCCAGCCGCCGCCGUAAGAC